GCGUGGGUCUGCAGGGCGUGCGGCUGCUCUGCAGUCUCUGUCACAGCAAUGGGCGGAGGUGUGGCAGGGCCUGGUCUGGGUGGGAACGGAGCUGGGGCAGGAGCAGCGGCCCCGCAGCUGGGCGGGGCAGGCGCUGUGGCUGGGCGCGGGCCCCCCGCCGCCCCCCGGCGCGGAAGCACGCGCGUGCGUCACGACGCCUCGGCCGGGAGCGAGCGUGGCGCGGGGGCGGGAAUGGGGGCGGCGCCUGCGCGCGGGGCGCUUUCUCCUGCGCCUCCGUCCUCGGCUAGCUUAGUAGCCGCCCCUGGACCCGGGCCGUGGAAAAGCGAGGGCAGCCGCUGGCCCCGACGCCGCCCCCCCCGGAGAGAAUUCCGGGAGCCCGAGGCCUCCGGGCCGGCCCCGCGCGGAGGGCUCUGUUGCAGUGCCGGAGGAAGGUUGUGCCAUCAGGUCGUCGCGUACUUCUCGCCGCAUCUCUCGCCGCGGCAGGACCUUCCUCGCCUGUGAAAAGAGGAGGAAAAGGCUGAGAGUACGCCUAAAAUGAGUGCCGCGCUCCCAGGACAGCCUUUCGCUGUACGUGCGUUGUGCGAAGCACUUGACCGGUAUUAAUACCCGCAGUCAGGACCGCGGGGCCGCCCCCCGAGCGGCAGAGAGGUUUACCCCGGGUUACGCGACUAGAAGGCGGUGGAGGCUGGAGGGGAGGGCCUCCCAGGCGCGGGCGGGCCACCGCAUCUGCAGCACUACCUGGUACUGCCACUGUCAUGCCACCUGACACCUGUCUCCUCUGAAGAACUCUCUCCACUCCUUCAAACGCUGCAGUACCAAGUUCCAAAAUUGCCCUGGUUGCUUUUUUCUAAGUAUAUUGGUCCAAUUUGUUCUUGAUUUCAAGCUGAAUCCGAGAGGAGCUACUACUAAUUUUUGGAGUUCAAGUGUCAUCCGUUUAAUGACAUGUUUUGGAAUCUUACCAGGACUGUAGACAGAUUUGCAGCCUCUGUUUUCCCGCCUUUUUGAAAACUGGAACCUAGGCUCCAGUCUUCUGACAUAGCAUUUAUCCACGUGGCUUCUCCAGAUUCCUAGCUGUGACCAACUUGCAUGUUUUCAGUACUGGGAAUGUAAUCGUUGCUGGGUUAGGAGUCUUGAAAUGAUUUUUUUAUUUAGAAAGAUGUGAUCAUAAUAUUGGGAACAUCCUUAAAACGAAAUUUAUAUUGCUACUACACUAAAAUAUAACAGGUCUACAAGCCUCAUUUCUUCUGGUAGCAGAAAAACUAAAUCUAGUUAAAUCAAGGAGUCAACACCAGCUAGGCCAGAAGUCUGGUCUUGCUGCACGUGCUCUGCCUUCGACUAAACGCUUGGGAGUAGACUAGAGAUUUUUGUAUCAGUUACUCCACCUGGAGGACCAGCAGGCAGAGUCUCAUUGACCAUCAUUUGGAUUGAGUGUGGCCAAGAGGGAUUGAACACCUGGAGAACAUGGCCGAGGUGCUGUUUACAGUAGGUGUGUGAUCACUGUUUUUCACCUUAUUUGGGGACAAAGGUGUGGUCCAGGCGUGCCCCUCCUACCCCUGAACCAACACUAGACUCCUUCAGAAUCAUGGAAGAAAGUUAAGUUAAAGGAAGUCCAGCAAGCCCAGCAAACGCUCAUUAGGUGUCGUCUGGAAACUGGUCAAGGCAAAUUUUUUUAAAAAGGGGGCCACCGGUUUCUGGGAGUUAAUAACCCACCCUUGCUGCACCUCUCCCUCCAAGUUGUCUCACUGCUGUGUGGCAGUCACCUCUGAUCCGUUCCUAGUAACUGUUAAAGGACUGACAUUUUCAGAUGAUUGACUUCUAAAUAAAUCAGACCCAUUUGAAGUCAUGUCUGGAAGAAUAUCAAGCUUACUUGCUUGCAUUCUGACAGUGCCUUCUUGAGUGGGUGAAAAACAACUGGAAUUUCAGCAGAGAAUUGGGUGUGAUGUGUCAAAUGGAUCAGAUUACUCAGCUGCAACCCAAAGUGAGGAGAAUAUUCCAAGAAAAAAUUUCGAUUUACUUUUUUUCUAGGCUUUGUCAGUACUUGGAACACCAUGCGCACUUCGUUCCAGGGACGAGGUCAGGGGCGGUGGGUCCAAGGGACCCGAAGACUCCAGAUUGACCUUGCCUCCCUCAGCCUAGGACGCCCCCUCUUCUUGCUCCGCCCACUGAAGUCCUCGGGAGUCUUUUGCCAGCUCCCGUGCACUCCUUCCUUGAAACCUCAGUAGCUGUCAGCACUGAUUCUUCUUUGCCUUGUAUUGGGAUUCAUCACGGUCCAGCUACCCUAGUCUGCUCCUCUCCGUGUCCCUCAGUCCACCCCAUCCCCAGCAGUAUCUUGAGAGACUCGAGUGGAGUGUGAACAGCUACAGGAUCUAGUAGACAUGAGCAGCCACCAAGGAAACCAAAGUUUCGGUGAAGCACUUUGGACAUCCUCCAGAGUGCUGUGAAAUCAAAAUUAAGAAAGAGAUGUGGAGCCCCUGUCCUUGCGCUGCUCACAUCCUGUUGGAGAAACAGACAUGUCAACACCCUCACAACGCAGCCCAGGCCAUGGAGGGAGGCCCUGCAAGGCCCAGGAGCUCAGAACCCCACUGAAGCUGUGACCAGGAGGUUUCUAUUAUCAUCAUUCCUCCCACUUCCAACCUGCCCUUCAUUCUCAAGAUGCCGCCAGACAGAGGUACUCCCAGUCUCCUCUCACCAUUCUAGCUGGCCCCAGGUCAGCUGAUCCCCAGUGGCUCUACUCAUGACUGAGUCUCAGGAAAGCGUGCCCCCUUACAUUAUAUUCACACUAACUAAGCUGGCUAGGCAACACUCUGGGCUCCCAAAGGAUGAACCUCCACAGGUCAAGUUGUCUCUGCUCCACCCAGGGAGAGGCCCCUCUCAUACCCACAGGAUGUUUGUAGUACACCAAUGUGCGUUCUUCCCUUUUCAAUAGUAGAACUCCUCAGUCAGGCUGUGCUCCUGGCCACUGCGUUAGGUUUCUGCUGCAUUAGUGAUGCAUAGCAAGCAAGCCCAAAAUCUCAGUGGCUUACCAAAAAAAGCCAUUUACUUUUCUUGCAGGUCAGCAGAGGCAGCUCUCCUUCAGGCUAGGGAAGCGAUUUAGGGCUGCUCCACUUGUCUCUCAUCCUCUGGACCAAUGGCUACCUGGGUAGGCUCUUCUCAUGGAGGUGCCAGUGGGGCUGCUUAAGGCCUUGUCUCAGAACCGACACACUGUCAGAUCUGCCCACAUGCCACUGGCCAAAGGCCAACAUUGAUGGGGUGAAGAAGUCCUCUGCACGUUUGUGAACACCUUGGAUGGUGAACAGCCAAGGGCAGGGAGGGAAGGACGAAUUGCAGGCAGAUAAUACAAUUGACCUUAGCCUCCCUUGCAGCUUGGUGUGUCCUUGCAACUAAGUUCUGGCCAAUGGGAUGUGAGGGGAAGCAAUGUGUGCAACCUCCAGGCCUUGCCCUUGUAAGGACUGGGUGUGCCCUGCCUUUCAUUUCCCCAUCAGCUGGGAACACGGUGGGACUGCAGCAGUUACCUGGCCCAGAGGUGGAUGGCAUAGCUGUCCCACCAGUCCUACCUCUGGACGUUUGUCAUUUACACUGCUGGAUUUUUGCAUCUUUGUUAUGGCAUCUUAGAACCCUAGCUAGUACACCAUUCAUUCAUUCAGCAGGUAUUUACUGUCUUCUUUGUGUGGGGCACUGCACUAGGCCUUGGAGGAAGUGACAGUGAGCAAAAAAAGUUGGCCUCUCUGUGUCUUGACUGUGGUGGUGGUUAUACAAACCUACACAUGUGAUAAAAUUGUAUAGAACUAAAUUACACACACACGAGUACAAGUAAAACUGGGGAAAUCUGUACAAGAUCUUUGGGUUGUACCAAUAGUAACAUCCUAGUUGUUAUGUCAUAUCAUAGUUUUGCAAGAUGUUAUUCUUGAGAGGAAACUGGGUAAAGGAUCUCUGUAUUCUUACAACUGCAUGUGAAUCUAAAUGAUCUCAAAUAAGAAGUUAAAAAAACUUGGACCCCUGGUCUUUUUGUGCUCACAGUAUAGAAUGGUGUCAAAAGAAAUACCAGAGAGCUUUACAUAAUAUGAAUAUUUUAUUGAGCGAGAAACACACUAUUUGUGAACAGGGAGACUUGCAACCAAAAGUGGUUAUAGCUCAGCUUUCAGCAGUUACAUCUCAGUUUAUAAAGUGUGAAUGAGGAAAUACAUUGUUUUCUAUCAUGAUUGGUUACUCCAAACUACAUUCUUUUUAGGGUUAAAGCACUACAUAAGCUUACUUGUGUGUAGCUGAUUAGUUAGGAAGCUGUAAGGUUGAACUGACAGGAAGAAAGCUUAAGUUUUGUUUAAGGUCAGAGUCAGCAUUUUAGGGAAAUCAGAGCAGUUUCAAGUUUUGAUUACGUAUCUAAGAGUGUUUGGUCUAGGGGUAUAUUCAAACUGUGACUUCCACUUUGUUUUUUCUUCAUCAAUGGGAAUCAGAAGAUUAAAAAAUAAAAAAAUCACUGAUGACAACCUCGGCAUGGCAGCAGCCCAGCUCCAACCAUCCAGAUGACAACAAUGCCCUGAAGUCUGCAGAGCAGUUACGUCAAAGGAACUGAGGGUAGAGCUGCCAGGCAGGAAUGCCUGCUUUGGACUGUGACGUGAGAGAGAUAUAAAGUUCUUUGUUCUUUAAGUAGGGUGUCCAUAUAAUUUAUCAUCCAAAUUGAGACACCUGUGAAAAUAAUUAUACUGAGAUUGCUUGUGUAAACAGAUCAUUUGGCCACUCUAUUUUUUUUUUUUUGGUGAGAAAGAUUGGCCCUGAGCUAACAUCUAUUGCCAAUCCUCCUCUUUUUGCUUGAGGAAGAUUUGCCCUGAGCUAACAUCUGUGCCAGUCUUCCUCUAUUUUGUAUGUGGGACACCGCCACAGCAUGGAGCAGUGUGUAGGUCCACACCCGGGAUCCAAACCCACGAACCCUGGGCCGCCAAAGCAGAGCACGUGAACUUAACCACUACACCACUGGGCCAGCCCCUGGCCACUCUAUUUUUAAGCCAUUGUAUUGUUGAGUCUCUGUCAUAGCAGCCUAGCCUCUUCUAACUGAUACAGAAACUAAUGGAUGCUGCCUUCAUCAGGACAGAAGAGCCUAGAGGAGGGAACAAGUAAAUCCAAAUUACAGCAAGUUAAUGGGCUUAAAGUUUUAUCUUUUGCUCAUGCAAAGUCUAAUAUGGUGCUGGUGGCCCUCCUCCAUCUUCUAGUCAGCUCAUUUUGAAUAUGAACUUCCCAGGUUGCUGGAACAGUGGAAGAGAGAGCUGGAGGAUUCCAGAAGAUUUUAUGGGCCAAGCCAGGAAGUAGCUCACAUCACAACACUCACAUUUCAUUGCCCAGAACUUAGUCACAUGAUCACCCCUAACUGCAAAGGAGACUGGGAAAAGUAGUCCUCCUUUAAACCCCCUAAACCCAGGAAGAGGACUCUGCCGCAGAUGCAUAAUUACAGACUGGGAAAGGACACCACUCUGGCCUCAGCCUCUUCAGAUUGGCUCACUUAGAGUACGUGUGGCUGUGCCCUUCACAGAGAAACCCCUGAAGGUUACAGGAAAGCAGUUCAGAACAGCCUAUAGCAGUGAAUCAGAGAGAGAGAGAGAGAGGGAGAGAGAGAUUUAUUUUAAGGAGCUGGCUCAUGCAGUUCGAGAGGCUGGCAAGUCCAAAACCUGUAGGGUGCACCAGCAGGCUGGAGAUCCAAGGAAGAGCACUGAUGCUGCAGUUCAAGUGCAAAAGCUGACUACUGGCAGAAUUCCUUCUUACUCAGGGGAGGUCAGUCUUUCUGUUCAAUGCCUGCCUUCAACUGAUUGGAUGAGGCCCACCCACAUUAGGGAGGGCAAUCUGCUUUACUCAAAGUUCAUCAAUUUAAAUGUUAAUCUCAUCCAAAAACACCCUCACAGAAACAUCCAGAAUGAUGUUUGGCCAUAUAUCUGGACACCAUGACCCAACCAAGUUGACAUAAAAUUAACCAUCACGUUCUCCAAGGCCAGUUUUUAACACUUUAUAUUUCUUGUUUAAAGUGGAAGGCAGGGUGGUAUGGGGGAAAAACGGUCAAGGCUGGGUUCAAAUCCCAAAUCUUACUCCUCUGUAUUCCAGUUUCCUCAUUUGUAAAAUGGGAGAAUGUUGACCGUAAUUCUCCAAAGAUUAGAGCUCAUGUAUGUGAGACACUUAGACCUAUGCCUGACUCUUAAAUGCUGGCAGUUAUUAAGUUUACAAUUUGAAAGGAAGGUCCACUGAACACUUCACAUUUCUUUCGUUUUAUAGCUGCUUUUUAUUUGUAGAUUACCCUUGACUUUUUCUGUUUUCCCUCUGCAGUUUAGCAGUGUCUCAAUAGGAAGACAGUUCCCUGCCACAGUGUUUAGCUCUCACGUGAUUUUGCCAUCUCCUGGUACUUGAGUUGUCAGCAGUCAGCUGUGUCCUAGAUGCUUUGCCUUCCUACUUUUCCGUGAGCCAUCAUUGAUGAGCCAUGGAAUGUUACAUGUUUGAACAACUUAUUUAGACACUCCAGAGAAAAUGCAAAGGGAAAGAGGAGUGAGAAGGAGUGGUAAGAAUAAAGGAAAGGUGGGAGGUGGCAGGAAAUGAUACAAGGAGAAAAGGGAACAGAAAUCAGAUUUGCUAAUUUGCUUUGUGUUGCUACAUCAGUUUAUAAAUUAGUGUCUACAUUUAUGACUGUUUGGAUGAACCAACUUUUCUGAUCCUCUCGUCCAACAAAGCUACAGAUUUCUUUAUUGGGGUAGAGCUGAAGAAGCUUUAAAAGUGGGCCAAAGCCCCAGGGGAACAUGUGUUAUAAGAGUGAAAUGGUCUGCUAUAAACUGACACUGCUGAAGGCUUGGAGUGCAUAAUAUAGAGGUUAGCAAACUGUGCUUCUUUCAGCCUUGGUUUUCUAGUUAGGCAACUGGCUAAGCCACUGACCCAAACACACUUGUCUUUAACAAGAUGGGCCUCCGUUUCUCUUUCAGGUAGCAGUACAGAUGGUGGGCAGGUGGGUGGUCCAGAGCAAUAAUUGCACUGCUCCAUGGGGUCACCUGAGCACCGAAGCUGGCAUGUUGGCUUUACCAUCGUUGAUACAUGGUAUCCACUUGUGGGUCCAAGAUGCCACUCCAGUUGUCCCCUUUCCCAGCCAGGUGGGGGGGCAGCAGAAGCAGAGGGCCAAGAGCUUUCUUUUUAAAGACAUCACCUGAGAGUUGCCCUUUUACUUCUGCUCACAACCCACUAGCCAGAAGCUUGAAGGGAAGCUGGGCGUGUGCCCAGCCAAAACUCAGCAGGGAGGGGUCCAAUUACUAAAUGGAAGAAGGCAAGACUUGGAGUCUGGGAGUGGUUGGUAGUCUCUGCCGUAUCUAGUUCUUUGGAGGUGAUUCACAUCCCUCAAGAAAGUCUGUGAGACCCAGUGGGCAACACCCCAAUUCCCCACUCUACUUGAGAAGCUCCACUUUCAUCUAUUUUGGGGUUCUCUCUAAAUUUCUGUCUGAAAAAUAAGUUUAAUUGCAUUAAAAAAAAGUUUGAAGACCAUUUUAGGGAAGAUUAGUUUGCCAAGGUGGAAAGAAAAGCUCAAAUUAGUGACUUAGCCAAAAGCACUCAUUGUACUUCAAAGCUGUACCUGAAGCCCCUGGCCACAGCCGUUCUGACUCGGAGCUGAGGUGAGGCUGGUGGUGCUGUCAGGCCCCACCUCCUCACAAAUGAAGCUCAGGUGCUUUCCCACCCUCUCCCCACCCAACUCCUCUUCCACACGCAUUCUAAACAGCUCUCGAUCUCAGGAGAAGAUAAGAAUCCCAAAGUUGAAAACUCCCAUCUUGCUUUCAGAGUGCAGUCACGGGGUGGUCCCCAUGAACUGUCUUCACAAUGGAUGUGCUACAUCUUCACUCUCCACCAGACUCCCCUGAAGACAAUUUCUGGUCAGUGUUAUAUGACUCCAGCAAAGUGUGCUACCU